GACGAACGCUGGCGGCGUGCCUAAUACAUGCAAGUAGAACGCUGAAGGAGGAGCUUGCUCUUCUGGAUGAGUUGCGAACGGGUGAGUAACGCGUAGGUAACCUGACUGGUAGCGGGGGAUAACUAUUGGAAACGAUAGCUAAUACCGCAUAACAGUAGAUGUUGCAUGACAUUUGCUUAAAAGGUGCAAUUGCACCACUACCAGAUGGACCUGCGUUGUAUUAGCUAGUUGGUGGGGUAACGGCUCACCAAGGCGACGAUACAUAGCCGACCUGAGAGGGUGAUCGGCCACACUGGGAAUGAGACACGGCCCAGACUCCUACGGGAGGCAGCAGUAGGGAAUCUUCGGAAAUGGACGGAAGUCUGACCGAGCAACGCCGCGUGAGUGAAGAAGGUUUUCGGAUCGUAAAGCUCUGUUGUAAGAGAAGAACGAGUGUGAGAGUGGAAAGUUCACACUGUGACGGUAUCUUAACAGAAAGGGACGGCUAACUACGUG
rnacentral:rRNA from 1 species